rnacentral:rRNA from 1 species
GACGAACCGAGCGAACGUUGUUCGGAAUCACUGGGCUUAAAGGGCGCGUAGGCGGCCCGCCGCGUCCGGGGUGAAAUCCUCCCGCUCAACGGGAGAACGGCCUCGGAUACGGGCGGCCUGGAGGGGGGUAGGGGCGUGCGGAACUGUGGGUGGAGCGGUGAAAUGCGUUGAUAUCCACAGGAACUCCGGUGGCGAAGGCGGCACGCUGGACCCCACCUGACGAUGAGGCACGAAAGCCAGGGGAGCGAACGGG